UUUUUUUUUUUUUAAUUUUGGAAUGAGUUUAAGCUCAAUAAAUCCUGCAAAUAUACAUACACAAAAGAUUUUUUCUAUGUGUAAUUUUUAAAUACAGGAAGGAAGGUCUGAGAUGCUGCCAAUAAAGAAAAAAGAAACAAAAAAAAAAAAAAAAUAAAAUAAUAAAACAAUAAAUAAUUUAAAUUAGAGUUUUUAAAACUCUUUUUUAUUUUAUUUAUUGUUUGUUUUAUUUUUUUUAUUUUGUUUUUUUUAUUCUUUAUUUUUUUUUUUGAGAAAAAAAAUAUUAAAAAGAUAUUAAUUAGCUACCAGAAAUCUAAAUCAUGUAACUCUAUAUGAGUUAUAUGAUUUUGAAAAAGCUAAUAAGCAAGUAUACAUAGGUGAGUUCAAUUUUUGAGGUUUUUCGCAUAAUUCUAUAAAUGUGAAUAUAUAUAUAUAUUCAUUUAGAAUUGGUAGAAAAAUAACUAAAUUCAGACUACUCGUAAAUUCA